AACUGGAAUACAGGAAGUGAUGCAAUGCUAGAGAGGAAUAUAAACCUGAAUGGAGCUUUCAGAGCUCAUUCAGAGUGAGGACAGCAUUGAGGACAGCAUUAGAUUACAGCUACUACUGUGGACAAAGAAUCAGAACAGUCCUGUAUGCUGUCCAUAUGAAAUUUGGAUUGUCUUGCACUGAAUGCUAUAUCGAGUUAAAUACUGAGACUUUUAAUUGAUUUAUAGGGACUCCAUCCCAACUUCUACUUCUCUUCAGUCAGAGAGUUUGUUCUUACAUAUAAAAAACACCCCUGAGGAAGUCUGUUUAGAUGAAACGCGUUGGGUGGUAAACAUUGUGGGCGGACUGGCCGUCAUAUGAGCUCCUCCCUGGCUGGGGUGGACAGCAAGUCCAUUUAAGAUCAUAGCCCACGAUUGUUAAG